CGAAACACUUGUUCUUGUAUGAUCACUGAAGUUAAGCAACAUUGAGCCUGCUCAGUACCUCGAUGAGUGACCAUUUGGGAAUACUAGAUGCUA